UAACCGCAGUAGCUGGCACAAAUUUUACCAAUACUAUAUAUUAUUACUAAUUCAAAAUUUCUUUUAUAAUUAAUAUCAAUUACUGCGAAUAGAGAUAUAAAAUAAUUAAUUGUUUAAAAUUAAAUAUAAUUCACACAAAAAUUUACAUGUAAAAUAAAAUAAUAAUAAAAUGAUGUUGACUAGAAUAAAAUAAUAUUAUAUU
rnacentral:rRNA from 1 species